rnacentral:rRNA from 1 species
UACGGGAGGCAGCAGGGGGAAUAUUGCACAAUGGGCGCAAGCCUGAUGCAGCCAUGCCGCGUGUAUGAAGAAGGCCUUCGGGUUGUAAAGUACUUUCAGUCGUGAGGAAGGUGUUAAGGUUAAUAACCUUAGCAAUUGACGUUAGCGACAGAAGAAGCACCGGCUAACUCCGUGCCAGCAGCCGCGGUAAUACGGAGGGUGCGAGCGUUAAUCGGAAUUACUGGGCGUAAAGGGCACGCAGGCGGUUAAUUAAGUUGGAUGUGAAAUCCCCGGGCUUAACCUGGGAAUGGCAUUCAAGACUGGUUAGCUAGAGUCUUGUAGAGGGGGUAGAAUUCCAUGUGUAGCGGUGAAAUGCGUAGAGAUGUGGAGGAAUACCGGUGGCGAAGGCGGCCCCUGGGACAAAGACUGACGCUCAUGUGCGAAAGCGUGGGGAGCAAACG